rnacentral:rRNA from 1 species
AGCAGCCGCGGUAAUUCCAGCUCCAAUAGCGUAUAUUAAAGUUGCUGCGGUUAAAAAGCUCGUAGUUGAAUUUCGGGACCAAUAUGUCGGUCGUGCCUCGGUACGUACUGGCAUCGUUGGUUUCUCCCUUCUGACGAACCAUGAUGUCAUUUAUUUGGUGUCGUGGGGAAUCAGGACUGUUACUUUGAAAAAUUAGAGUGUUUAAAGCAGGCUCACGCUUGAAUACAUUAGCAUGGAAUAAUGAAAUAGGACGUUUGAUUCUAUUUUGUUGGUUUCUAGGAUCGACGUAAUGAUUAAUAGGGAUAGUUGGGGGCAUUAGUAUUCAAUUGUCAGAGGUGAAAUUCUUGGAUUUAUUGAAGACUAACUACUGCGAAAGCAUUUGCCAAGGAUGUUUUCAUUAAUCAAGAACGAAAGUUAGGGGAUCGAAGACGAUCAGAUACCGUCGUAGUCUUAACCAUAAACCUAUGCCGACUAGGGAUCGGAUGAUGUUAAUUUUUAAUGUACUCAUUCGGCGCCUUAC